rnacentral:rRNA from 1 species
UACGUAGGGUGCAAGCGUUGUCCGGAAUUAUUGGGCGUAAAGAGCUCGUAGGCGGUUUGUCGCGUCUGCUGUGAAAACCCGAGGCUCAACCUCGGGCCUGCAGUGGGUACGGGCAGACUAGAGUGUGGUAGGGGAGACUGGAAUUCCUGGUGUAGCGGUGGAAUGCGCAGAUAUUAGGAGGAACACCGGUGGCGAAGGCGCCAACUCUGGGCCGAAAC